UUGCUCGCCCAGAAUUUCCACUCCUUUACUGCAUUUUUUAUAGGCAACACACAAAGGUGUAUUUUACUUGCCAUGAACAGGGAUUGCAUACAUUGUUUCUGUUCAGCGGGCUUUUGUCCGUGUUUCCUGGCUGCUCCAUGCGUCAAAUGAGGAUAUUCAAUUUGAACUUGAUAUGCAUUUUAUGUUGUUGCCCCCGGAGAAACUGGAUGCUCAACAAGCGUAUUGGAAAUCAGAGCAAUCAUCAUCCGAUGGGUCAAGGGUCUAAGGAUACGGCUUGGAUAUGAGCGGCUUGGAUAUGAGCGGCUUGGAUAUGCAGCCGCAUUUACAUAUAAACUCAUAUUCUGCUUAUGCCUGGGAAUUAGAUAAUUCCACAGAAAGUAGUUUUUAUUGUGUGCAGAGCAAAACAAUUGCGAAAAUAAGAAAAGCGAAUGAAUUUGUUUGCAAAAAGAUUUAUUAGGUGCAGAGAUGCAUUUAUUGGACGUCAGAGCAAAACGCCGCACUGAGUGCGAUGCAAAAUAAAUUAUUUACUCGAAUUACAUCUGCUAUGCCCGCAAUUCACACAGCCCAAAGUCUCACGUUUCGACUGCAAUUUUCCCCUGCUCCUGCUCCUUCCACUGAAAAUGGGAUCCUGAAUGCCUUCGCCUAACAAUACGCACGCAAUUACCGCAGGACGAGCAGCCGAAAAGGGCGAAAACUUCAACUCCCAAACGCUUGACGAAAGUUUCACAGUUGUCCUGAUGACGACCAUCAUGAUGAUGAUGAUGAUGAUGCUGUUGGCGAUGGCUAUGACGAUGGCGAUGGCGCUGGACAAACUUUUUCAGAGCUCUAAUUGCCCAAGUGGCUUUCGAGUUCGAGUUCGAGUCGAGCGUCGCCACGUAAUGGAGAAAGGAGCCCCAAACUUUUGCCCAAUUCAGCAGAACUGCGAGCACAACAUCUUCUUCUGCCGCUGGACAGGAUUCACCGCCUCCACUUCUAUUUCACUCACAAAAUGCACAAUCAAAGCUGACCGUUGGCGUUAUUAACGCAAAUGAAAGUGGUGCAAUACCGCUACACCUGCGGCCAAAAUAGUAGUGUAUCUUACAUAGAACAUUCAUUAUUUUUAGCUUAAUUUGUAACGAGCAUACUUAACGAAAUAGUAUAAACUUAUGUUGGAAGGGAACUGAAAAAAAGAAUAGAAAUGGAAAUUUAAAUGAGAUU
ensembl:ncRNA lncRNA:CR45732 long non-coding RNA:CR45732